rnacentral:lncRNA from 1 species
ACCGCCAUUGGAUCUCUCUUCUCUCUCAAAUCUCUUUGAAACUCUCAUAGACCCUAGCUUCCACCCUCUCACUUCACCCUGAUACCUUCCUAAUCGAUGACCCCUCGUGGUCAUUUGAAACAUGUAUCAACCUCCCAUGGCUCUGGGGUGUUGGUUCCUGUGCUUUCAUGGCCAGGCCUUGAGGGAAUCUGGUCCAGUCCUUGCUCGAUUUCAGUUCAUGGCCCGUCUCCAAUCAUCUCCGACCUUUCUCCAGCCAUCCAUGACCGUUCGAGUUAGAUCCUUGACUCUCCUGGUUGGAUUGAUAACUUUCAAGGCCUUUCUCACCUUUUC